AAAUUGAAGAGUUUGAUCAUGGCUCAGAUUGAACGCUGGCGGCAGGCCUAACACAUGCAAGUCGAGCGGUAGCACAGAGAGCUUGCUCUCGGGUGACGAGCGGCGGACGGGUGAGUAAUGUCUGGGAAACUGCCUGAUGGAGGGGGAUAACUACUGGAAACGGUAGCUAAUACCGCAUAACGUCGCAAGACCAAAGUGGGGGACCUUCGGGCCUCAUGCCAUCAGAUGUGCCCAGAUGGGAUUAGCUAGUAGGUGGGGUAAUGGCUCACCUAGGCGACGAUCCCUAGCUGGUCUGAGAGGAUGACCAGCCACACUGGAACUGAGACACGGUCCAGACUCCUACGGGAGGCAGCAGUGGGGAAUAUUGCACAAUGGGCGCAAGCCUGAUGCAGCCAUGCCGCGUGUGUGAAGAAGGCCUUCGGGUUGUAAAGCACUUUCAGCGGGGAGGAAGGCGUUAAGGUUAAUAACCUUGGCGAUUGACGUUACCCGCAGAAGAAGCACCGGCUAACUCCGUGCCAGCAGCCGCGGUAAUACGGAGGGUGCAAGCGUUAAUCGGAAUUACUGGGCGUAAAGCGCACGCAGGCGGUCUGUCAAGUCGGAUGUGAAAUCCCCGGGCUCAACCUGGGAACUGCAUUCGAAACUGGCAGGCUAGAGUCUUGUAGAGGGGGGUAGAAUUCCAGGUGUAGCGGUGAAAUGCGUAGAGAUCUGGAGGAAUACCGGUGGCGAAGGCGGCCCCCUGGACAAAGACUGACGCUCAGGUGCGAAAGCGUGGGGAGCAAACAGGAUUAGAUACCCUGGUAGUCCACGCCGUAAACGAUGUCGAUUUGGAGGUUGUGCCCUUGAGGCGUGGCUUCCGGAGCUAACGCGUUAAAUCGACCGCCUGGGGAGUACGGCCGCAAGGUUAAAACUCAAAUGAAUUGACGGGGGCCCGCACAAGCGGUGGAGCAUGUGGUUUAAUUCGAUGCAACGCGAAGAACCUUACCUGGUCUUGACAUCCACAGAACUUUCCAGAGAUGGAUUGGUGCCUUCGGGAACUGUGAGACAGGUGCUGCAUGGCUGUCGUCAGCUCGUGUUGUGAAAUGUUGGGUUAAGUCCCGCAACGAGCGCAACCCUUAUCCUUUGUUGCCAGCGGUUAGGCCGGGAACUCAAAGGAGACUGCCAGUGAUAAACUGGAGGAAGGUGGGGAUGACGUCAAGUCAUCAUGGCCCUUACGACCAGGGCUACACACGUGCUACAAUGGCAUAUACAAAGAGAAGCGACCUCGCGAGAGCAAGCGGACCUCAUAAAGUAUGUCGUAGUCCGGAUUGGAGUCUGCAACUCGACUCCAUGAAGUCGGAAUCGCUAGUAAUCGUAGAUCAGAAUGCUACGGUGAAUACGUUCCCGGGCCUUGUACACACCGCCCGUCACACCAUGGGAGUGGGUUGCAAAAGAAGUAGGUAGCUUAACCUUCGGGAGGGCGCUUACCACUUUGUGAUUCAUGACUGGGGUGAAGUCGUAACAAGGUAACCGUAGGGGAACCUGCGGUUGGAUCACCUCCUUACCUUAAAGAA
rnacentral:rRNA from 2 species